AAGAGGUGCAGGGUGUGUGUGAGGGGUAACUGGGUGAGUGUGUGUGUGUGUGUGUGUGUGAGGUUUCAUGUCUCUGUGUGAGAGGUGCAGUGUGUGUGUGAGGUUCCAUGUCUCUGUUUGAGUGGAGUAGGUGUGUGUGAGGGGUGCAGGGUGUGUAUGUGAGAGGUUCGACCUGUAAGGGGAAGCAGGGUGUGACGAGGGGUGCAGGGUGUGAGAGAGUCCAUGUCUGUGUAUGAGGGGUACAUUGUGUAUGACGAGUAACGGGGUGUGUGUGAGGUUCCAUGUCUCUGUGUGAGAGGUUCAGGGUGUGUGAGGUUCCAUGUCCCUGUGUGAGAGGU